rnacentral:rRNA from 1 species
UCGAGAAUAUUCGACAAUGGACGAAAGUCUGAUCGAGCGACGCCGCGUGCAGGAUGAAGGCCUUCGGGUCGUAAACUGCGGUAGUAUGGUAACAAUGUAAAUGAGUGCCAUACGGAAAGAGGUGGGUAACUACGUGCCAGCACCAGCGGUAAAACGUAGACCUCAAGCGUUAUCCGGAUUUAUUGGGCGUAAAGCGCACGUAGGUGGUUUUGCGCGUCUUUUGUUAAAGCCCAGGGCCUAACCCUGGAUCUGCAAGAGAUACGGCAGAACUAGAGGAGGUUAGAGGUGCAUGGAACUCACGGUGUAGGGGUGAAAUCCGUUGAUAUCGUGGGGAACACCAAAGGCGAAGGCAGUGCACUGGGACCUUCCUGACACUGAGUUGCGAAAGCGUGGGGAGCAAAAAGGAUUAGAUACCCGGGUAGUCC